UACGGAGGAUGCAAGCGUUAUCCGGAUUUAUUGGGUUUAAAGGGUGCGCAGGUUGUUUGAUAAGUCAGUGGUGAAAGUCUGUCGCUUAACGGUAGGAUUGCCAUUGAUACUGUUGGACUUGAAUAUGGAUGAGGUAGGCGGAAUGUGUAGUGUAGCGGUGAAAUGCAUAGAUAUUACACAGAACACCGAUUGCGAAGGCAGCUUACUAAUCCAUCAUUGACGCUGAGGCACGAAAGCGUGGGGAGUCAAACA
rnacentral:rRNA from 1 species